CCCCCCCCUCCCCCACACCCAGACCCCUGUGCCAAGAUGCCGUGGCUGAGGAGGGAUCUGCGAAGUCCCCACUAUCUCCAGCAUCUGCAGUCCAUUGACUUAUUCAGGCAUACAAUGUCUGACUCAUUACCAAGAACAGAUCUGGUAACAGCAUUCUUUCUUGUUGGGGUAUAUUCAAAACAGAGUGGCCAACCCUUGAUGACUGUCCUGGACUCUCCAGAAAUGGAAGAUUAAUUUCUGUGAUUAUGCGUCAACGCAAGAGUCACAAAUGUUGCUGCAGACUGUGCAAUCAUCAGUGAUCAUUCCCACUUCUGACUUUAUGGAAGGAGGGUCGUUAAGGAAGCAACUGAAGGUGGUUGGGCCCAGGCCGCUACUCUGGGGAACUCCUGUGGUGAUAUCCUGCAGCUGAGAUGACUGACUUCCAACAACCACAACAAUCUGUCUGUAUGCUAGGUAUGACCCUACUUAGUAGAGAUAUUUUUCCAAUUCUCAGUGACUCUACAAUGAAUAAAUAGCUACUUGAAAGGGUAGAUAUAAGACAAAACCUGGCUAAUUGGUGCUUUUACUGGAUGUUGAUGCAGCGCAUUUUGAUCUCCUCUUGCACGCAAUGCCAAGGACCCUUUGGAUCUACUUGAAAUGUCUUAAGACAUUGUGCUCAAUUUAUAUUUCACGGAGACGCUCCUGAUAGAUGGCUGAUUUCCAGAUUGGGAACGUGAAAACAGCCAUGAUGAAAUUUUCAAAGAGCCUGCAAGUUAAUGGGUCGGCUUCAAGAGUCCUAUGCAAUAUUGCUGGGUCAAAAUUCUGCAACUCACUGCUAGCAUCAUGGGUAGAGGACAGGGAUGUAGAAUUUGUGCCAAUUUCUGAGGUUUUUAUGCUAAUAACUUUAUCAUGUUGCUUCUUGAAUAACUUUAAAUAUUUAAUAUCUGGCCACCACCUAACAAAUUUUAAAAAUAAAAUUUAGAAGGCCAUGAAUAACAGAAUAAUGCUAGUAUAGAUUUUUGUAAAAAUAAUCUGACUUUGACUGGGCACAA